AGUGAACGCUGGCGGUAGGCCUAACACAUGCAAGUCGAACGGCAGCACAGUAAGAGCUUGCUCUUACGGGUGGCGAGUGGCGGACGGGUGAGGAAUACAUCGGAAUCUACUUUUUCGUGGGGGAUAACGUAGGGAAACUUACGCUAAUACCGCAUACGACCUACGGGUGAAAGCAGGGGAUCUUCGGACCUUGCGCGAUUGAAUUAGCCGAUGUCGGAUUAGCUAGUUGGCGGGGUAAAGGCCCACCAAGGCGACGAUCCGUAGCUGGUCUGAGAGGAUGAUCAGCCACACUGGAACUGAGACACGGUCCAGACUCCUACGGGAGGCAGCAGUGGGGAAUAUUGGACAAUGGGCGCAAGCCUGAUCCAGCCAUACCGCGUGGGUGAAGAGGGCCUUCGGGUUGUAAAGCCCUUUUGUUGGGAAAGAAAAGCAGCAGGUUAAUACCCCGCUGUUCUGACGGUACCCAAAGAAUAAGCACCGGCUAACUUCGUG
rnacentral:rRNA from 1 species